rnacentral:rRNA from 1 species
AUGGGCUCGGACGCACCGAUCUCCUUGCUCCGGCGCCUGGCUGCCCCGCUCUCCUUGCUCCGGCACGUGGCCGCCGAUUUCCUCGGCGUCGUACGCUUCCGUAUCCACUCGGCCACCUUCCCAAGCACCAAGAGGCUCAAGAGAAUUUUCUUCCAAGCCAAAAUGAGAAGGGACUUUCUUUGGGCCGGGUCAGAUUCAGUUAGUGGUGGAAAAUGCUUGAUCAAAUGGUCUCAUGUUUGCUCUCCUCUUGAGCUUGGUGGGCUAGGUAUACCUGAUCUGAUUUGUCAAGGAAGGGCACUGAGAGUUAGGUGGCUCUGGCAGAACGCCACUGAUGGUGAUAAAUCUUGUCAUGGGUUAACACUGCCAGUGGACAAGGAGGUUAAGGCCAUUUUUGUGGCUAGUACUUCAAUCAAGAUUGGGAAUGGAAAAUCCUUCAGUUUUUGGCAUGACCAUUGGCUGCAUGGUGAGAUCCCCUCGGUUUCCUUCCGGUUACUUUACAAGCAUUGUAAUAGGCGCCAGAUCACUGUCUCUGAAGGUCUCACGGAUAAUCUCUGGAUUUGGCUCAUCAAGCGCAACCCUGAUGAGGCUGUUCUAAGAGAAUUUGUUGACUUAUGGCACAGAUUACAAAGCUUCAACAUCUCUGAAUUGGAAGAUGAAAAUUGUUGGAAAUGGACUGCGAAUGGAACUUAUUGCACACAAUCUGCAUACCACUUACAGUUUUAUGGCAGAGUCAGCUCUCCUUUCUUGAACAUCAUUUGGCAGAUCAAAAUCCCCCCAAAAAUAAAGAUGUUUGCUUGGCUGGCUGUGCAAGGAAAGUGUCUUACGGCUGACAACCUUGCAAGGAGAAAAUGGUCCCAUGACCCGGUCUGCCCCCUCUGCAGAAUUGGCCUCGAAUCCGCUCACCACCUCUUUGCUGAUUGCCCAUUCACAGCUGGUGUUUGGGGUUUUUGCCUGACAAAAUUUCAGUUUCCAUUUGAUGCUAGACCGAAUAGGAAGCAGGCCUUCUCCUCGCUGGUGAUGGCUAUUUGGUGGGGCAUUUGGAAGGAACGAAAUGAUCGCAUCUUCAACCAUAAAUUUUUCCCCUUUCUGAAUAUUUGUGAUCAAAUUGUACUCGAGCUGCGUACUUGGUGGACUGCCGGCCUCAAGGCUCUGCACCGCAUGUCUGAAGUCCUCCUCGUCUGGUCUCGCCUGAGCUGUAUAUGCGGGGACGCCAACGCGGUGGGCAAGCUGAUGAUGCCGCCAUCAUCUCACCCGUACUACAACAUUGUUUGUUUGACUUUGAUGAUGACAGGAGGGAUGACGUUAAACUUGCAAGUGGAUAAUUGGGAGCAGAAGAGGCUCUGCUCGCGUCUCUCUCGCGCUGCGGCGGUGGUGGAUGGAAAGAAGAAAGGGAAGGGGAACGGCUCGCGCGGCGCAGUGGCCCUCGUCGCCGUCCACGGCGGCCGGAGUGGCCGAUCAGGACGCUGCCCUUUUUUCCUCGACAGAGACGGAAAAGAAGAGAAAGAAGAAGGGAAAGGGGAAAGGAAGAGAAGGUGGCCGGGCUCGCGCGGCGCGGUGGUGGACUCCGUCGCCGGCGGCCGGCAUGGAGGCUCGCGCGGUGGCCGGACCAGCCAGAGAGAGCGCUGCGAGCGAGAGGAUGAGCGGCGCGCGGGAGGAGAAAAUGGACUAGGGUUCAGCCCCAGUCGACCAACGCGGCUGGUUUUGAUCCAGCGAACGGCGCGCUGGACUGUCGGAUCGGAUCCGACGGCCACUACGCCAACCCUAGCUGGCUGCAGGCCUCUGGGCCGCAAGUGGAGAAGGCCAGCCGCAGGCCAUGGGCCGCGUCCGGGUCAGCCUCAACAACAGGUCGCGCGCUGGGUAGUUGGGCCGGUUUCGGCCUGA